GCUCGGGCCGGGAGCCGGAGGCAGAGGAGGGCGCGGCGCCCCGCGGAGUUGCUGGCAGGGCUGGCGCAGAGCCGGGCCCCCGCGUCCCGCGCGGUGAGCCGCCGAGACAAUAAAGUAGCGGUCGGCAGCCCCCGAGCGCCCGAGGGAGGCGGCGGCGCGGCAGAUUUAAUCACGACUCUGCAGUGCUUCUGAGCAGACAAAAAGGACGUUUUGGCUAACUGACAAUACAAAUAAGGCUUGGAUGAGAAAUCCAGAAGAAAGAAUGUGUGAAAGAAAAAGAUGACAUCUGUGCAUGGCAAAACAAAUCCAAAGAUUAUUACAAUAAAAACAAACCGAGGUCAAGAGAACA
rnacentral:lncRNA from 1 species